GACGAACGCUGGCGGCGUGCUUAACACAUGCAAGUCGAACGGUAAGGCCCUUCGGGGUACACGAGUGGCGAACGGGUGGGUAACACGUGGGUGAUCUGCGCGGAACUUCGGGAUAAGCCUGGGAAACUGGGUCUAAUACCGGUUAGGACCACUGCCUACAAGGGUGGGGGUUGAAAGCGUUUGCGGUGUGGGAUGGGCCCGCGGCCUAUCAGCUUGUUGGUGGGGUGAUGGCCUACCAAGGCGACGACGGGUAGCCGGCCUGAGAGGGUGACCGGCCACACUGGGACUGAGAUACGGCCCAGACUCCUACGGGAGGCAGCAGUGGGGAAUAUUGCACAAUGGGCGCAAGCCUGAUGCAGCGACGCCGCGUGAGGGAUGACGGCCUUCGGGCUGUAAACCUCUUUCAGCACCGACGAAGCGCAAGUGACGGUAGGUGCAGAAGAAGGACCGGCCAACUACGUGCCAGCCGCCGCCGUAAUAC
rnacentral:rRNA from 1 species